GACGUAGGGCGCAAGCGUUGUCCGGAUUUAUUGGGCGUAAAGAGCUCGUAGGCGGCUUGUUGCGUCGUCCGUGAAAACCCGUGGCUCAACUGCGGGCUUGCGGACGAUACGGGCAGGCUGGAGUUCGGUAGGGGAGACUGGAAUUCCUGGUGUAGCGGUGGAAUGCGCAGAUAUCAGGAGGAACACCGGUGGCGAAGGCGGGUCUCUGGGCAGUAACUGACGCUGAGGAGCGAAAGCGUGGGGAGCGAACAGG
rnacentral:rRNA from 1 species